GAUUUCCCCCGAAAGCGUCGGAUUUUCACGUCAGCAUUUACUUGGAUACUUUGUCAAGGGAAGCACCAGUCCCGAGGAUGAUGUUGGUGAAGCGAAGACACAUGUUUACAGUUUUGAAUGUUCACCAAUACCUGGGAGCUGAAUAGAAGCAGAAUGUAGGACGUUGUACACGUGUAGACGUUUCUCUUGUAGGAUGAUGUUGGUGAAGCGAUGACACAUGUUCACCAAUACCUGGGAGCUGAAUAGAAGCAGAAUGUAGGACGUUG